GAACUGAACUAUGUUUUUAAAUAAAUCGAAUGUUUUAAGCAUGUUCAUGCAUCAUGAAUGCCAUGUUAUGUAAUAGGUUAUUUGCAUUAGAAAUUCACGAAUAUGAUACAUUGCAUAAUACGAUGAUGAUGAUGUGGAUGGAUAUUGGAUGAUCCUCUAGCCCUCAGUAUGAUAUGAUAUGACGUGUUAUGAAAUGAUACGAUAUGAUAUGUAUGAUAUGAUAUGAGAUGGAAGACCAGGUGUGGCCGUAUCGCCCCUGACACAGAGUAAGAGAAGACCAGGUGUGGCCGUAUCGCCCCUAGCACAGAGUAAGAGAAGACCAGGUGUGGCCGUAUCGCCCCUGGCACAGAGUAUUGCUGAACUUGUUAUGAUAUGAGAUUCCUAUGUAGAGGGCUAUUGGUGACAAAUUCAUCCUUGAUGUGAUUUGUUUGUGAUGUGAUGCAUUCCAUGAUAGCAUACGUUUUAAUGAACUGCUUUUCCUUUAUAGUUUCUGCUCACUGGGCUUUUUAGCUCACCCCUCUCCCCUCACCCCAGGUUUGCAGGGACAGAGAUAGUUCAGGAGGUCAGCAGGUUAUCGUUAUGGUCAUGAUUAUGUAAUAAGAUAGUAGUGGACAUGAUGUAUUUGUAAAGUUAUGUAAUGAUGUAAAAGUAUGUAUUGAAAUGUAAGGCUAUGUAAUGACAUGUCAUGGUUAGAGUUGUGCUUUGCCCUAGUCAUGUAUGGUUAAUCUCUUUUGGCACAUGAUCUUUCUCAAAUGUUUUAAUGAUGUUUUAUGCAAACCAAGCUUAAUGUAUGAUAUGUUGCCCCAUUGGAGCAUUUGAUGAGGGCUCCAGUGUGGGGUUUUAUGUUUAUGGGUUUGUGCAUGCAC
rnacentral:lncRNA from 1 species